rnacentral:lncRNA from 1 species
GGCAGCUCCUUCACCCCGCAGUAGACACCCGUGCGUCUGUACCCUCGACCCUUAUUUACCCGACGAAUAAAGGCGGAGGAUCGGCGGCUUCCAAUUCUUUGCCCCACGGAGCCCAGGGCUGUCCCUGGACUUCCAACCUUUUCAGGGCUGUUACUCCCUCCCUCCGCCCCCUGUCCUCCCGCAAAACGGGUGUUCUGCGACGGCUUCUAGCCCUGGUUGGGGAGCUCUGCCACCACCGGGCACCUUCCGGACUCCACGAGGUCCUGGAGCCAGGCCCAUUCCUUCCGCAGUAGUGGGCUGCGUGGUGUACGCCGGAGGCGCCAGAGCUACUGGCGCACCUCAGAGCAGUGCGACAAGACAAAACCGAGUGCCAGUAACUGAGUUUAGACACUGGAGGGGGCGAAUGCUGUCAACCCCCUCCUGGUAUAAUUGUCAGUUCAUCCCAACGCCGCCGAGGUGUAGGCUCAGGACAGGGAGGGACUACGGGGAGCUGGGGAUGCCCUAGGGACAGGGACCAUAACGAGGUGGAGAGAACUAUCAGAUGGGCUCAGCAGCUUGUGCUGUGGUUAUCAGCCCACAGCUUUGAAUGGCGCAAAGAGCAGUGGACCUAAGGCAGACACCAAGGUCUUUGACCUUGAACAAGUCACAACUGUUGAGGCCGUUUCCCAUCUCUAAAGGAAGUGCCCAAGGAGCACACAGCAGGCUGAACUUCUUGUUCUCUAUCCUAAGGUGUUCCUUCUAAUGGGCCCAGCUCAGGCAUCUAAUCUCAGUGUCCCAAACCUUUAAGGCAGGAAACAGUGCUACAGUGGAUCGGGAUAUCAUCGAGACUGGCCUUGAGGAUCCUGAAGCAGCAGGCUGUACACAUACACCCAGAGGUGCUAGGGUGGUUCAGUGGUAGAAUUCUCGUCUGCCAAAUACACCACACAGCUAGGUGAGGGGAUCCUCCUAUAACCCCACCACCACCCCCAAGGGGGUAUACAUGUUACCCUGGC